rnacentral:rRNA from 1 species
ACGCACGCUGGCGGCGUGCUUAACACCUGCCAGUCGAACGGUGAAGCGCCUUCCUUUUUGGUGGGUGUGGAUGAGUGGCGACCGGGUGAGUAACACGUGAGUAACCUGCCCCCUUCUUCUGGAUAACCGCAUGAAAGUGUGGCUAAUACGGGAUAUUCUGGGUCUGUCGCAUGAUGGGUCUGGGAAAGAUAUUGUUUCGGUGGGGGAUGGGCUCGCGGCCUAUCAGCUUGUUGGUGGGGUGAUGGCCUACCAAGGCGGUGACGGGUAGCCGGCCUGAGAGGGUGGACGGUCACACUGGGACUGAGACACGGCCCAGACUCCUACGGGAGGCAGCAGUGGGGAAUAUUGCACAAUGGGCGCAAGCCUGAUGCAGCGACGCCGCGUGAGGGAUGGAGGCCUUCGGGUUGUGAACCUCUUUCGCCAGUGAAGCAGGCCUGCCUCGUUUGUGGGUGGGUUGACGGUAGCUGGAUAAGAAGCGCCGGCUAACUACGUG